GCCAGGCGUGGUGGCUCAUGCCUAUAAUCCCAGCUACUAGGGAGGCUGAGGCAGGAGAAUCGCUUGAACCCGGGAGGCGGAGGUUGCAGUGAGCUGAGAUUGUGCCACUGCACUCCUGCCUGGGCAACAGAGUGAGACCCUGUCUCAA
rnacentral:sRNA from 1 species